rnacentral:rRNA from 1 species
CAAUAAGCGGAGGAAAAGAAACCAACAGGGAUUGCCCCAGUAACGGCGAAGUGAAGCGGCAACAGCUCAAAUUUGAAAUCUGGCCCCUCGGGCCCGAGUUGUAAUUUGUAGAGGAUGCUUUUGGUGCGGUGCCGCCCGAGUUCCCUGGAACGGGACGCCAUAGAGGGUGAGAGCCCCGUCUGGCUGGCCACCAAGCCUCUGUAAAGCUCCUUCGACGAGUCGAGUAGUUUGGGAAUGCUGCUCUAAAUGGGAGGUAUAUGUUCUUCUAAAGCUAAAUAUUGGCCAGAGACCGAUAGCGCACAAGUAGAGUGAUCGAAAGAUGAAAAGCACUUUGAAAAGAGGGUUAAAUAGUACGUGAAAUUGUUGAAAGGGAAGCGCUCAUGACCAGACUUGGGCUUGGCGAAUCAUCCGGCGUUCUCGCCGGUGCACUUUGCCUCGUCCAGGCCAGCAUCAGUUCGCCGCGGGGGACAAAGGCUUCGGGAACGUGGCUCCUCCGGGAGUGUUAUAGCCCGUUGCGUAAUACCCUGCGGUGGACUGAGGACCGCGCUUCGGCAAGGAUGCUGGCGUAAUGGUCAUCAGCGACCCGUCUUGAAACACGGACCAAGGAGUCGUCUUCGUAUGCGAGUGUUCGGGUGUCAAACCCCUACGCGUAAUGAAAGUGAACGCAGGUGAGAGCUUCGGCGCAUCAUCGACCGAUCCUGAUGUUCUCGGAUGGAUUUGAGUAAGAGCAUACGGGGCCGGACCCGAAAGAAGGUGAACUAUGCCUGUAUAGGGUGAAGCCAGAGGAAACUCUGGUGGAGGCUCGCAGCGGUUCUGACGUGCAAAUCGAUCGUCAAAAUAUGGGCAUGGGGGGCGAAAGACUAAUCGAACCUUCUAGUAGCUGGUUUCCGC